ACAGGCAAACUCGUUUUCGACAGUCAAUAAGUUCUCACAAACUUGAUUCUACCAAGGAGAUGUCGGGCGGUUCUGGAAAUACGACAAAUGAUGCAAGUUAUGGAUGUUGUUGCUGCUGUAUUCUGUAAACAGGCGCUCUUGGGGUUGGUGCAGCAGUCAAUAAAAGGUUAGUUUUAAUCAAUUUUUGAAAAACGAUUCAUGAAUCGUCAUUUUACUAUUGUCUAUAUUUUUCUUGUAAAUCGUAUAUUCCCAAAAUAAGCUGGGUAUAUUUCAACUCACUUGAAAGAGCUGUUAGCCAUCUAAACCGCACGUUUCUUUUCCAUUCAUAAAGGUAAGCAAUAAAACAUGACUGUGGUUGAUUGUAUAUCAUUGGAAAUUCAUAUUCCCUGCUCGAAUUUAGAUAGCAAUGUUCGGGCUAAGAGCCAAAGCAAUAUGUCUACUCAGAGGGAGAAUCAGUUGCUCUCCUUCGCAUUCCACAUAAAUGGAUAGGAGUUCAAUGAAUGAGCAAAAUCUCUGUGCUAGAUAAACUAAUUGCGUAAAAGAUUUUCGCUUUAGAAGGCGUCGAUUAUAUAAGCAGAAGCUACGAAAGCGCAGAAAAAAAUAUAUCACACAUAAUGCUGUUGUGAUUGACCCUUCUUGUUGAAAACAAGAGUUCAAGAGGUACUCUCUUUGUAUCGCUAAGAAUCAUACCUUAAAAAUGCCUAGAAGAUCAAACGGAACAACAAAUUUUGCCCGCGAAAAUGAUAAUAAAUGCAAGAAAAAACUGGAAAGAUCUAUUAGAGCUGUUU